rnacentral:rRNA from 1 species
UACGUAGGCAGCGAGCGUUGUUCGGAAUUAUUGGGCGUAAAGAGUGUGUAGGCGGUGCUCCAAGUCUGUCGUGAAAUCUCCCGGCUUAACUGGGAGGGUGCGGCGGAAACUGGAAUGCUAGAGGGUGGGAGAGGUAAGCGGAAUUCCUGGUGUAGCGGUGAAAUGCGUAGAUAUCAGGAGGAACACCAAUGGCGAAGGCAGCUUGCUGGGACGGUACUGACGCUGAGGAGCGAAAGCAUGGGGAGCGAACAGG